AGUAGCUUGCCCUGCCAGUGUGGAGUGAGGGAGUACCUAUAGUUUAAACCUUUUCCAAGGGAGAAGAAGGAGAAGAAGAAGGGGAAGGAGAAGUUUCUGGCAAAAACCGCUCAUUCAGAAGAAUGUGUUCGGGCUUACGACUGUGGUGCUUGCUUAAUAACUGCAGAUUCACUUAACUAUCAAAAUGAUUUGCUUAACCACCUCGACAAAAAAUGUCAUAAAAUUGGAUUGGGUUAUGUGGAUCAUUCAACUUGCAACUGUAAUGACUUAUGCCUGGAAAUCCGGUCCCAAUUGCGGCCAUAAAUUGAAGACUACUUGUAUAAUGAAACUACAAUGAUAUACUCUUAGAUAUCAAGAAAAACAUCUCAGGAAAGUAGAGAUUAUUUUAAAAUUCUUUUAUUCUACAUUGAUUAAC